CCGGCUUUCGAGGUGGAGAUUCUGCGUUUUGUCGACAGGUUACGCCGGACCGCGGCAGCGAAAGCCUCGCGGAGAAAAACCGCGACGUCCGAAACUAAGUCCAUGUGCGCGAUACGUGGUCGCGAAUACGAAAAUCCCGGUCUACGUUUAAGCGGAAGUGGGGGAGGAGAAGGGGAAGCGGGGGUCGCGUAAGAGCAAAAACCGACCGUCAUUCCCUCGCGGAAAUUCCAUCCUUAAUCACCGAGAAUCUCGUCGCCGAUACAGCUCUGCCUGCGGAAACCGCGAUCAUGGGUAAGCAGAAAAAGCUGCCCGAAACAGUUGCUCCGCGGAGUGAAAAAGCGGCUCGUGUUUUCGCCCGUCUCGGUGGUGCUUGCGUGCUUUAAGCCGCGUUCGCAGGAGGCGGAGAGGAAAAAUGUGGGUCACUUUUGGAGCUGCCGGUCACUCGCUGAGAUGUGAGGAAUGAGGAAGUAAAGACAACAAAAAAAAAAAAAAAGGAAAAAAAAACUUCAUUCAACCGGAAAACAUGAUCGAGAUUCGAGAAUACCUCGGAAAAUUCGACGAGCACUUCAACGACCGGAGAAUCGAAUGUUGCUGCAGGUAUUUAGGUGCGAGGGGUAAAGUGAACGUAGGAAGCUGCAAUCAAGACUCGUUUAGAGACGCCUUGACCUAGGCCCGCUUAUGUAUCACAUCUUGUACGACAGAAGCGACGCAAAUAUAUUCCCAUGGUUAAAAGGUGCGUGGUUGGAAGAAGAUACAUAUUUAUGUACAGAAAUAAGGUUGCACCGCGACGUUCUCGUGAAUUCAGAAUGAGAGAACGUUGGGGAUACGAUUCUUAAGGCUCGACCGGCGUUAUCAGCGCGUUAACACGUGUUCAAAUAGACCAAGUUUGGUACGGAGUUACGUAAUCGUGGCUUAAUAGGUGCUGCGUAGAAAAAACAAAAAGGAGAUAAAGAACAGAAACGUCGUUACACCGGGGAAGGCUUAAACGUUGCGAGGGAGGAGGAGGAAAAUUUCGAACACUAAGAUAAUCAUCAACCGAUAUGACGACGCCUGCAAGUGUCGUGAUAUUUUAACGAGCUCAACUUUGGCGAGCUCUUGGAAGGACAGAGACGGGAUACCGAUCAGUGUCUUGGGCUGUUGAAAUGAGGCAGACGGUCCGCUAGUGAAUUCGAUGGUUUAUUUUCAUUCGUAUUUCCUUACCCACCGCGAAAGUGAAUUAGAAAGUUUCCGAGGAAUAAUUGCUGCAGAGUUUUGAAAGGAGAAUAUAAGAAUAAGACGAAGAAAAAUAAGAGAAAAGGAACGAGUGGUUUAUUAAUUGAAACCGGUUUCUUGGUUGUUCAAAGUUGUUCUUGUUCUUCCUGUUCUCCUUAACUUCCGCGUCUUUUCCUCUUAUAAUUAUACCGCAGCGAUUUUUCACAGCGUAAUAGAAGAAAACAAAGAAAGAGAGAUAUUAUCGCUGUCGUAUCGUCGUCAGGGAAGGAGGCCACGAAGAAUAAGAAGAAGAAGAAGAUGAAGAAAACUCCGAGUGUUACAGUGUGCGAAAAUAGUGUCAUGAUUUGUGCGGUUAGAGUUUCGCCGAGUGUGUAAAAUAUACCGGGUCUCGUUUCAUCCGUUGAACGGGUUGCACCUAUUUACAGUUGUAACUACCUCGGAACAAGUUCUUUCUUCCCCGUCACACAUUCCAUUCGCUUUUUCAUUCGUUUAUUUCCGCCGAGCGAACACCCCUGAAGAUGAACUAACUUUUAACAAUGCCGGUUCCGAUGCAUUAACACUGCACGCCAACUAGGUUGGGAAGCAGAGGUCUGUUCUGUCCCGUCGAGUGUGAAGAUAGCAGGAAGCGGAGGAAAGACCGUGGUGAAAAAGGACCCGCGAGAAGAGAGGUGGGAGGAAAGUGCAAAACCAGCAAAUCCUUCUCCCAGACUACGUCAUCAGUUUUAAUAUUGCAGAAUAGAAGCUGCCGCCGCGACGCCGCUCCGAGAGUGACUCUCUUAAUAAUGAGAUGAUAUUAUCACGAGAAGCUGUUUCGACAUCGGCAGCAGUACCGAGAUGGGAAACGUCGGUUUGACAUCUCGUUAUACGUGCACACCCGUCAUCUCGGCGCGUUCGAAAAUGCUCGAGAGAGAGAGAGAGAGAGAGAGAGAGAGAGAGAGAGAGAGAGAAUUUGAUAGAAGGAAUUUUAUAACUACGGUGAAAUAGCACGUCCGGUCUGUAAGGCUUUGCAAAAGGAGGUUCAGCAGUUCCAAAGAGGCAAUAAUUGGAAGAAAAUUACGGUUCACUUGUGCUUAAAUCGUGCUGAGGCAUCGUCACGACAUGUCGCAAUCAUAGUGAGCGGGGAAAGGGAAGUUGAUAACUGUUAUUGACAGGGAUUGACGAUAAUCUCGUGAAUUUACCGGAAACAGAACGGCGAUCAAGCCAGUCUACAGGGAUCUAGCAUGAAUAGGUAAAUCAAACACUGGCACCCAUGGUGGCCAUGCAGCAUGCAAUGUACACGGUUUGUUGUCAUGGAAAAAUCGAUAUGCCUACCUCAGCGUUUUCUGACAAAUGACUGCAUGCGAAUAGGAUCGAAACACGGCUGU